rnacentral:lncRNA from 1 species
GUAGUAAAUUGAUAAAAGAAUUGCUACAUAGCAUUUAGAAAAGCACAGAGGCAGUAUCUUUUCUUCUUUUUUUAUUUCUUUUUGAGAAAAAAGAGGCAGUAUGUCGAAAGACAUAUAUUCUAACAGAACUUCAAAAUUAGUCCUUCCCAAACUACGCAACUUGAUCCUUCAUACUUACAAAUUAAUCCAUGUUAUAUAGUACAGCAGACACUAGACUAUUAGCAAUCCCUCAUAUGAUAGGAUUCUCUUGAUGAGAGAAUUCAACACAGAAAAGGAAUCUAAUAUGACAAUCUCAAAUCAUAGUGAUUUUGCAAAGAUGUGUUGGUGCCUUGCAUAUAACUCACUAAAGCCUUGCAACUGAUAUGAUGAAAAUUAGGAAGCAAAAGGGCCGCUGAUCAAGUUGAUUUUACAAGUAGGCGUUGAUGAUCAAAACGUGUCUAAUAUGAAUAUUUUUGUUGCGUCUAAGAUGGAAAAACAUGAAAAACGCUUUCCAUUUACUAUACCUUGGAAGAAGUUACAGAUUCUUCUCCUUUCGACUACCAAAAAGUAGGGUUGAAGUUUUUAUUUCUUCUUCUUAUGAUCUAGAGAACAGACGUGCUCCAAUCUAAAAUGGAAUUUCAUUAUAAUGCAGAAUCAACAGAAGUAUCACAACGAACCAUGAUACAGUUACUUCCUGAAAAUCUUCUUUUUGGCACUUAACGACUAUAUUAUAAACACUGUGAGGAUAACAAUAUCAACCUGAUAUAACCACUGAGAUUAGAUUCUUUACUCAUAAACUAUUUGCACUGACUCCACUAACAAUGUCCUAUAAGUUCCAUAUUCAAGAAAAAGGCUUAUGAAUUAGCUCUCUCCGCUCCCUAAUAUGAUCCAGGAAUUGCUAAAGAUUAAAUAAAUCACUGAAUCUCAACUAGGAUUUACAUUGUAAAUCAGAACUAUCCUAUUUCAGAAAGGAGGAAAAACGUGCUUC